GCUCUAAUAGUAUAACUAUUACCUUGGUCUUGUAAACCAAAAAUGAAGACCCCAUCUUCUUAGGGCA
rnacentral:tRNA from 1 species